GUGCAAGGGACAACUGUUACUCUUUCAUGCAGUGACUUACAGAAACAGCCUUUGAAAGUACUUGCCAUUUCCUCUCCUCAUCAACAGUCACUCUCUUACUGAACUAUAUUGCCUUUUACAUUAUCCUGUUCCCUGGUACAAAGUCAUGUCUGUUGCACUUAGGAUGUGGCAUAUUACAGAGCAAAGUUCCUUUGAGGUCACUUAAAACCUGUUUUAAUCGUCACAGCCUGGGCUAGUAGCACAGGAACAACUGUAUGAGCGAGUCAGCCUAAUCAUGAAAUGAUUAGCACUUUUGGCAGUGGAGGCUCUGUAGCCGGAAGGUGGCUGCCCCACUGUUGCUGGGCUCCAAUUUGCUUGUUGCUGCCUUCUGCUCUUCCAUAGUUGUUGGUGCAGCGGUGCUGCAGAGCAUGCUAGUCUGUCAGUGAUCUAAGGGUGUGUGAAUCGUAGCACAGAGCAGGGAACAGAGAUAACUCUUAUUUAUUUAUUUAUUUAUUUAAUUUUUAAAUGACACUAAUCUCAGGUUUUGCCUGCUUGCCCAAUCAAUAAAAUACACAUUGGGUAACUUGUGGGUUUCUUUUCUCAUGAAUGACACCAGAAUCUCUGUCUGUUUUGGUUAUAAAAUCGUUGUUAGAGUGCCAGGUUACAGCAAAGAGGAUGAAAAUUUUGAUUUCUGAAGUUCACAGAGGAAACAAUACCUAGUUUAAACACUGCUGCAGUGGAAGUAACAUCCAGCUGAGAUGGCUGGUACCACCAUAAUUAAUCUCCCCUUUGUGAGAGGAGGAGAAGAAUUACAGACAAAGCCAGUUUCUCAGAGCAGACAGCCGACUUGAUCUGGGACUCAUUCCCAAAGAAGACGACAGAACUUUGGAGGAGUCCUGGGUCUCUACCAUGGAAAAGGACAGUUGAAGCUGCUGUGUUGCUAGUGUGGUACCUGUUUGUGCUUUUCUGGUACAGCCUUGCUGGAUAAGUACCCAGAGAACAGUGUGGGAGAGCUCUGCAGUGUGUCUUACAGGGCAGUUUGCUCUGGUGUUAAAACUCUGUGCAGAAGAGCUUAGCAGUGACCUCGUAGUUGUGAGGACUCUUUGGAGAGGCCAGCGUACUCAUCUGCAGCUUUUGCACGAGAUGAUGAUCUGAGCUCUGGUAAGUUAACUUUCUAACCAAAUUUAUUAUGAGUCUUUACAGGACAGAAAACCGAACCAAAUACUAAUG
rnacentral:lncRNA from 1 species